GAUGAACGCUGGCGGCGUGCCUAAUACAUGUAAGUCGAGCGAACAGACGAGGAGCUUGCUCCUCUGACGUUAGCGGCGGACGGGUGAGUAACACGUGGAUAACCUACCUAUAAGACUGGGAUAACUUCGGGAAACCGGAGCUAAUACCGGAUAAUAUAUUGAACCGCAUGGUUCAAUAGUGAAAGACGGUUUUGCUGUCACUUAUAGAUGGAUCCGCGCCGCAUUAGCUAGUUGGUAAGGUAACGGCUUACCAAGGCAACGAUGCGUAGCCGACCUGAGAGGGUGAUCGGCCACACUGGAACUGAGACACGGUCCAGACUCCUACGGGAGGCAGCAGUAGGGAAUCUUCCGCAAUGGGCGAAAGCCUGACGGAGCAACGCCGCGUGAGUGAUGAAGGUCUUCGGAUCGUAAAACUCUGUUAUUAGGGAAGAACAAAUGUGUAAGUAACUAUGCACGUCUUGACGGUACCUAAUCAGAAAGCCACGGCUAACUAUGUG
rnacentral:rRNA from 1 species